rnacentral:tRNA from 1 species
GCGGUGGUGGUAUAGUGGUGAGCAUAGCUGCCUUCCUAGCAGUUGACUCGGGUUCAAUUCCUGGCCAAUGCA